UACGAAGGGGGGCUAGCGUUGCUCGGAAUCACUGGGCGUAAAGCGCACGUAGGCGGCUUUCUAAGUCAGGGGGUGAAAUCCUGGAGCUCAACUCCAGAACUGCCUUUGAUACUGGAGCUUGAGUCCGGGAGAGGUGAGUGGAACUCCGAGUGUAGAGGUGAAAUUCGAUAGAUAUUCGGAAGGAAACACCAGUGGCGAAGGCGGGCUC
rnacentral:rRNA from 1 species